GAUGUAGCUCAUAUGGUAGA
rnacentral:siRNA from 1 species